GCCCGGGUGUUGUGCUGCCUCAGCUGUUGGAAAAGCAAGGAGAGGUCUUGGAGAUCCUCAUUUCCGUCACAGCGGCUGAAGGAAGAGGCCAGGGGAGGCCAGGAGGAAAGCGGCCUUGGGGUACGGAUGUGCAGAAUUGGCAAGUCCACGGACACAGGAAUGGAUCGUGCGCCUCCUGUUGAUCUGUUGCCAUGAGGUGGUUCCUAUUCUCAAACAGAAUCUGAUACAAUGAGUCAGCAGCAGACCGGGCCAAAGUGCUCACCGUUACCUCACGAAACCUUCUGCACAAACGGGGCAGGGCUAUUCAUCUUUGGCCUGUGGUCCAUUCACGCCGGGGAGUACGAUACAGCCACGAAAAGGAACGGGCUCUGACAAUGGCCACAACACCGAUGGACCCUGAGGCUGGGGGGCUCCGUGGGAGAAGGCAACAGGAGGACGCAGAACGUGUGGCUCCCCUGGUGUGAGAUGCAGGUACAGGUGCAGCCAGA